AUUAAAGAGAGUUUGAUCCUGGCUCAGGACGAACGCUGGCGGCGUGCCUAAUACAUGCAAGUAGAACGCUGAGAACUGGUGCUUGCACCGGUUCAAGGAGUUGCGAACGGGUGAGUAACGCGUAGGUAACCUACCUCAUAGCGGGGGAUAACUAUUGGAAACGAUAGCUAAUACCGCAUAAGAGAGACUAACGCAUGUUAGUAAUUUAAAAGGGGCAAUUGCUCCACUAUGAGAUGGACCUGCGUUGUAUUAGCUAGUUGGUGAGGUAAAGGCUCACCAAGGCGACGAUACAUAGCCGACCUGAGAGGGUGAUCGGCCACACUGGGACUGAGACACGGCCCAGACUCCUACGGGAGGCAGCAGUAGGGAAUCUUCGGCAAUGGGGGCAACCCUGACCGAGCAACGCCGCGUGAGUGAAGAAGGUUUUCGGAUCGUAAAGCUCUGUUGUUAGAGAAGAAUGAUGGUGGGAGUGGAAAAUCCACCAAGUGACGGUAACUAACCAGAAAGGGACGGCUAACUACGUGCCAGCAGCCGCGGUAAUACGUAGGUCCCGAGCGUUGUCCGGAUUUAUUGGGCGUAAAGCGAGCGCAGGCGGUUUUUUAAGUCUGAAGUUAAAGGCAUUGGCUCAACCAAUGUACGCUUUGGAAACUGGAGAACUUGAGUGCAGAAGGGGAGAGUGGAAUUCCAUGUGUAGCGGUGAAAUGCGUAGAUAUAUGGAGGAACACCGGUGGCGAAAGCGGCUCUCUGGUCUGUAACUGACGCUGAGGCUCGAAAGCGUGGGGAGCAAACAGGCAGCGUCAGAUGUGUAUAAGAGACAGGCAUUAGAUAAAUGUCAGGUUGUCAUGUUUACAUCCUCUGCAAUGUCCGAGGGGAAGUCCACUGUAUCUGCAAAUGUUGCCGUAACUUGUGCGCAAGCUGGUAAGAAAGUCUUAUUGAUAGA
rnacentral:rRNA from 1 species